UAGAGUCUGAUGUUUUUGAAAUGGGAUAGCAUUUGUUAAUCAUGAACAUUUCCAGCAGGGUUCCUGCUUUAUGGAGGUAAAGACCUAAAUGUGAAUGUGUAUGAACUGAACACCUGCUAAAAUGCCAGAAUCUGCAAAUGCUUUUCAUUAUUGGAUUAGGAUUUGAAAUGGUUUGGGAUGUCAUGCAUAGCCCACCUAUUCUGGAGUUGUUCCAUGACAGCCCAUGGCACUACUUUAAGAAAGUGAACGUCCUUCACUGCUUUCAUUUCCUGACUAAAUACUACCACAGACGUGAUGGGAAAUACAGUUAUGUGAGCGAGCAAGACAAACGCACAAGUGUUCACUCAGCAGCAGCAAGAGUGAAGCGACCCACAGGCAUGGAGAUCUCACUAUCCUGACAGCGCCCUUCCAAAAGUUCAAAUACCUUGAAGACUUCAGAACAAGGACUUGUGAAGAAUUCUUCCUUCAGCCUCUGGAGGUAGUCUGGCAGGAUUUAUGGGAGAAGGGAUUGUUCCCUUCGGGCUUGCACUAACAGAAGCUGCUUCCAAGGCCACAAUUACAGUGCUGGAUUUGGCUCACUGUGCCUUACCCCAGGUGAUUUUUUGGCAAAGACAAGGCCUAGAACCCCUUGCCAAGAAAGGCUAUAUGGGCUUCCACUGUUGUCAUUCUGCCAGCAAGCAAUGACAUUCUUAUUCAUACCAACUUAGACUGGUCUUCUGUUCAAAGUCUGGACUGGCUGAGAGUGGACGUUGAUUUCCAAGGUUGUGUUUUAAAAUGUCGGUGUAUU